rnacentral:rRNA from 1 species
GCAUAUCAAUAAGCGGAGGAAAAGAAACUAACAAGGAUUCCCCUAGUAACUGCGAGUGAAGCGGGAAGAGCUCAAAUUUGAAAUCUGGCGGCUCCGCCGUCCGAGUUGUAAUCUGGAGAAGCGUUUUCCGUGCCGGACCGUGUACAAGUCCCUUGGAACAGGGCGUCAUAGAGGGUGAGAAUCCCGUCUUUGACACGGACUCCCGGUGCUCUGCGAUGCGCUCUCGAAGAGUCGAGUUGUUUGGGAAUGCAGCUCAAAAUGGGUGGUAAAUUCCAUCUAAAGCUAAAUAUUGGCGAGAGACCGAUAGCGAACAAGUACCGUGAGGGAAAGAUGAAAAGCACUUUGGAAAGAGAGUAAAACAGUACGUGAAAUUGUUGAAAGGGAAACGCUUGGAGUCAGUCGCGUCUUCUGGAACUCAGCCUUGCUUCUGCUAGGUGCACUUUCCAGUUCGACGGGUCAGCAUCGGCUUUGGGAGGCGGACAAAGGCGCGGGGAAGGUGGCAGCUCCGGCUGUGUUAUAGCCCCGCGUUGUACGCGUCUCCCGGGACCGAGGAAUCCGGCGCUCGUCGCCUGGGAUGCUGGCGUAAUGGCUUUAAGCGACCCGUCUUGAAACACGGACCAAGGAGUGCUACAUGCUCGCGAGUGUUUGGGUGGAAAACCCGAGCGCGCAAUGAAAGUGAAAGUCGAGACCCUUUGCGGGGGCACCGACGCCCGAGCCUGAAGUUUACGGACGGCCUUGCGGUAGAGCGAGUAUGUUGCGACCCGAAAGAUGGUGAACUAUUCCUGAGGAGGGCGAAGCCAGAGGAAACUCUGGUGGAGGCUCGUAGCGGUUCUGACGUGCAAAUCGAUCGCAGGACUUGGGUAUAGGGGCGAAAGAC